CCUUGAGUAGGGGGAGGGAAGUGCAGCAGAGACAAGUUCCUAAGUGCAAGUGUCUUGAGACAGGAAGAGGCUCCCUGAAGAACUGAAGGAAGUCCUUUCCUUGUGGCUGGCACAGAGAUGCAGAGUGGCCUGGAAUUCUCUGGGGAAAAGAAACCCAAGCAGAGGUAUUGUUUCUAUGGUUCAGAGUCAUCCGGUUUUACCGACGACUAGCAGCCUGCCCCAACUGGCUAAAUACAUGCCAACAACGGACUGCUGAGACAGCACUGUGUGAUAGACAAAUGGCAUUAUGCCAGGACACAUGGCAAGUUUGCAAAUCUUCACUCUGCAUCGUCGGAGUACUUGCUGCAUGAGGGGUUCUCCUACUGCGCCAUCCCUGUCCCCAGGGGCCAGGCUUCUUUUUACCUCUUGUCCAAGUUUAUUGUGCACAACCGUUUGAUGAGCACUUGCAGGAGAGAAGCUGUCUUCAUUGCCACCUGCUAAGGAAUGUAAUUAGAACUCAACCAAAACCAAAAAGACCCAUGGAAUGAUCAGAGAGAGAAGAGUGAGAAAAGGGGACGGGGAGUGAAGAGAAGCUGGAGCACCAAGUGGCAGAGUUGAAGCCAGAAGAUGAGGACAGAGGAAGAGCCAGGACAAGGACAGGAUAAGGCCAGACGUCCUCAGCCUCUCCAAGGACUUUUUGUUUGGACGAACGGAGGCAAGAUGGUGCACUUCCGGGUUCUUCUUCACCACCAACUCUUCCCGCGCGCGAAAAUGCAGCCGGCGCCUGGG
rnacentral:lncRNA from 1 species